AACAGACCUGGGGUCAGUCACGAUUGUAAUUGUAAUUAAUUGUAAUUACAAUGUAAUUGUAGUUGAAUCUUGGCACCUCUGGUUCUAUAUUUGAACAGUGAUAGUUGAUUCGCUAUUUUGAAUAAACAGGGUAAACAUGUUGAUGUGUAGUUAUGUUACUUUUUAGUGUAAUUGCAGUUGUAAAGACUGCAUCAUAAUUGUAAAUAAUUGCAAUUGAACAGAAUAUCCUUAAUUGUAAUUUCAGUGAGCAAUGCUGCUGUAAUUGUAAUUGUAAUUGAUCCAGGUCUUGUUCUGUGUUCUGCUGCCCUUAGCUGUGCCAAUGGUGGUGGGUACUACCAUUACUCCUACUCUGUGGUGCGAGGUUGUGACCGCAUCGUGCCAGUGGACAUCUACGUUCCAGGCUGCCCCCCAACAGCAGAGGCUCUUCUGUAUGGCACCCUUCAGCUCCAAAAGAAGAUCAAGCGCGAGAAGAGGAUGAGGAUCUGGUACCGAAAGUGAGGGGACAACCGGGACCUGGAUUCAACUUUUAUUUAUGAACAACUUUGCCACAGGGAGGCGCUGUGUACAUUAUCCAUACUGUCAGUACAACUGUGUUUAUUAUUGGACAUGUGCCAGUCCUGUUGAGUAAUACAUUAAAUAUAUUAUUAUUAUUAUUAUAA